rnacentral:lncRNA from 1 species
UGUUUGUUGUUGUUGUUAUUUUCCAAACACAUUUCAGUGGGACUUUAACCAUCAUUAUUAUUAUUAUUAAUUAUAUUAUAAUUAUUAAAUAUUAUAAAUAAAUAUAAAUUAUAAAUUAUUAAAAUAAUUAAUAAUAAUAAUAAUAAUAAUUUGGAAGAACAGCUGGACAUCUAGCAAUAUUUUCAUUGGAAAAACAAACUCUUUUCUCUCCACCUCUCUCUCUUUUUCUCAUUCAGGAUAGAUGAUCCUUAGAGACUACUGACUUUGUCUACACUGGAUCCAGGAUGUGCCAUGCAAUUCAGAUGCCUGAUCCAAAUGCCCUAUUUUAUUCUUGAAAGAGAGGUGAAAUCUCUAAUUUUGCAGGAGAAGAGACUGAAGAAACAU